GACGAACGCUGGCGGCGUGCCUAAUACAUGCCAGUCGAGCGCAGAAGGCUGGUACUUGUACCGACUGGGUGAGCAGCGCACGGGUGAGUAACGCGUGGGACAUCUGCCUUUGAGCGGGGGACAACAUGUGGAAACGAAUGCUAAUACCGCAUAAAAUCUUGAAACACAGGGUUUAAGGUUGAAAGAUGCAAUUGCAUGACUCACAGAUGAUCUCGCAGUGUAUUAGCGAGGUGGUGGGGUAAAGGCUCACCAAGGCGAGGAUACAUAGCCGAACUGAGAGGGUGAUCGGCCACAUUGGGACGGAGACACGGCCCAAACGGCUACGGGAGGGAGCAGGAGGGAAUCGGCGGCAAGGGAUGAAAGUUUGUCCGAGCAACGCCGAGGGAGUGAGGAAGGAUGUCGGGUGGGAAAACUCUGUUGGUAGGGAAGAACGCGGGUGAGAGUGGAAAGAUCAGCAAGUGACGGUAACUACUCAGAAAGGGACGGCUAACUACGUG
rnacentral:rRNA from 1 species